rnacentral:rRNA from 1 species
CCAAUAGCGUAUAUUAAAGUUGUUGCAGUUAAAAAGCUCGUAGUUGAAUUUCGGGAUUAGUACGUUGGUCGUGCCUUAGGUACGUACUGGUGUUACUGGUUCCUACCUUCUGACGAACCAUCAUGUCAUUAAUUUGGUGUGGCGGGGAAUCAGGACUGUUACUUUGAAAAAAUUAGAGUGUUUAAAGCAGGCUCGCGCUUGAAUACAUUAGCAUGGAAUAAUGAAAUAGGACGUUGAUCCUAUUUUGUUGGUUUCUAGGAUUGACGUAAUGAUUAAUAGGGAUAGUUGGGGGCAUUAGUAUUCAAUUGUCAGAGGUGAAAUUCUUGGAUUUAUUGAAGACUAACUACUGCGAAAGCAUUUGCCAAGGAUGUUUUCAUUAAUCAAGAACGAAAGUUAGGGGAUCGAAGACGAUCAGAUACCGUCGUAGUCUUAACCAUAAACUAUGCCGACUAGGGAUCGGAUGAUGUUAAUUUUUUAACGACUCAUUCGGCGCCUUACG